GGUGAACGCUGGCGGCGUGCCUAAUACAUGCAAGUCGAGCGAACAGACGAGGAGCUUGCUCCUUCGACGUUAGCGGCGGACGGGUGAGUAACACGUAGGUAACCUACCUAUAAGACUGGGAUAACUUCGGGAAACCGGAGCUAAUACCGGAUAAUAUUUCGAACCGCAUGGUUCGAUAGUGAAAGAUGGCUUUGCUAUCACUUAUAGAUGGACCUGCGCCGUAUUAGCUAGUUGGUAAGGUAACGGCUUACCAAGGCAACGAUACGUAGCCGACCUGAGAGGGUGAUCGGCCACACUGGAACUGAGACACGGUCCAGACUCCUACGGGAGGCAGCAGUAGGGAAUCUUCCGCAAUGGGCGAAAGCCUGACGGAGCAACGCCGCGUGAGUGAUGAAGGUCUUCGGAUCGUAAAACUCUGUUAUUAGGGAAGAACAAACGUGUAAGUAACUGUGCACGUCUUGACGGUACCUAAUCAGAAAGCCACCGCUAACUACGUG
rnacentral:rRNA from 1 species